rnacentral:rRNA from 1 species
CUACCUGGGUUGAUCCUGC